rnacentral:lncRNA from 1 species
UGUUUCUCAUUUUUCUUUUCAUAUUUCGGUUCUUGUCUCAAUCUACGCCUUGGUGAUACUCCAACAACUUCUUUUCAACAACAAUAACGGGUACACCAGUAGAUAGUAUAAUAGGCCAGGGCCGUAACUACAUUGAGGCAAAUGAGGCAAAUGCCUCAUGUUUUAAAUUUCAAAAAAAAAAAACUAAAACUAAAGAUUGUCUUCAUAUCAAAUUGUUUUCACUGAGAGUGUCUUGCAAGAAGCAAGUUCUCUUCACUCUCUGAUGUCGCCCCUG